GACGAACGCUGGCGGCGUGCUUAACACAUGCAAGUCGAACGGAAAGGCCCUGCUUUUGUGGGGUGCUCGAGUGGCGAACGGGUGAGUAACACGUGAGUAACCUGCCCUUGACUUUGGGAUAACUUCAGGAAACUGGGGCUAAUACCGGAUAGGAGCUCCUGCUGCAUGGUGGGGGUUGGAAAGUUUCGGCGGUUGGGGAUGGACUCGCGGCUUAUCAGCUUGUUGGUGGGGUAGUGGCUUACCAAGGCUUUGACGGGUAGCCGGCCUGAGAGGGUGACCGGCCACAUUGGGACUGAGAUACGGCCCAGACUCCUACGGGAAGCAGCAGUGGGGAAUAUUGCACAAUGGGCGGAAGCCUGAUGCAGCAACGCCGCGUGCGGGAUGACGGCCUUCGGGUCGUAAACCGCUUUCGCCUGUGACGAAGCGUGAGUGACGGUAAUGGGUAAAGAAGCACCGGCUAACUACGUG
rnacentral:rRNA from 1 species